rnacentral:rRNA from 1 species
UGGGCAACCUGCCCCUCUCUCUGGGAUAACCCCCGGGAAACCGGAGCUAAUACCGGAUACUCCGGCUGGAUCGCAUGGUCCGGCCGGGAAAGGUCCGCCGGAGAGGGAUGGGCCCGCGGCCUAUCAGCUUGUUGGUGGGGUCAUGACUCACCAAGGCGACGACGGAUAGCUGGUCUGAGAGGACGACCAGCCACACUGGAACUGAGAUACGGUCCAGACCCCUAGGGAGCA